rnacentral:lncRNA from 1 species
CGGCGUAGAGGCUAGCGGGCCGGUCGGUCUGGUCCGAUUCGGAAAAUGGAACCUUCUCGUUGAGCCCGUAGACGGAGCUGGACGAGGCCCAAACGACCGCGGGCUGAGGGUUCGCCGAUUUGCAGGCCUCGAGAAGCGUGACGAGGCCCGCGAUGUUGCUGUGGACGUAGGAGUGGGGAUUCUCCAUGGCGUAGCGAACCCCGGCCUGCGCCGCGAGGUGCAUCACG